GCCUUCGUGCUGUAAUGGUCAGCACACUGGCCGCGUCUGCCAGAGGUCUGUGGUUCAAAUCCCGGCGAGAGCA
rnacentral:tRNA from 1 species